GUCCUAGCCGUAAACGGUGCACGUUUGCUGUAAAAGGAAUCGACCCCUUUUGUGGCGGAGCCAACGCGUUAAACGUGCCGCCUGGGAAGUACGGUCGCAAGAUUAAAACUCAAAGAAAUUGACGGGUGCCUGCACAAGCGGUGGAGUAUGUGGCUCAAUUCGAUGCAACGCGAAGAACCUUACCUGGCCUUGACAUGCAUAUAGUAGAAGGGUGAAAGCCUGACGAGCCCGCAAGGGCAGUAUGCACAGGUGCUGCAUGGCUGUCGU
rnacentral:rRNA from 1 species